UAAGACGAAGGUGGCAAGCGUUGUUCGGUAUUACUGGGCUUAAAGCGUGUGUAGGCGGAAUUGUAAGCGUCUUGUGAAAUCCCUCAGCUUAACUGAGGAAUUGCUCGACGAACUGCUUUUCUUGAGGCAAGUAGGGGUGCACGGAACUCUUGGUGGAGCGGUGGAAUGCGUAGAUAUCAAGAGGAACGCCAGCGGUGAAGACGGUGCACUGGGCUUGAUCUGACGCUGAGACACGAAAGCGUGGGGAGCAAACAGGAUUAGAUACCCUGGUAGUCCACGCUGUAAACGAUGUCUACUAGGUCGUGGAGGUUCUGACGCCGUCACGGCCGGAGCAAAAGUAUUAAGUAGACCGCCUGGGGAGUACGGUCGCAAGGCUA
rnacentral:rRNA from 1 species